CUCAGAAACUUAAAGGAAUUGACGGGGCCCGCACAAGCGGUGGAGUAUGUGGUUUAAUUCGAUGCAACGCGAAGACCUUACCUGGUCUUGACAUCCCGGAGACCCUUAGGAAACUAGGGGGUGCUCCCAUCUGGAAGAAUCUGAAGACAGGUGCUGCAUGGCUGUCGUCAGCUCGUGUCGUGAGAUGUUGGGUUAAGUCCCGCAACGAGCGCAACCCUUGCCUUUAGUUGCCAGCAGUUCGGCUGGGCACUCUAAAGGGACUGCCGGUGUUAAACCGGAGGAAGGUGGGGAUGACGUCAAGUCCUCAUGGCCUUUAUGACCAGGGCUACACACGUACUACAAUGGCCGAUACAAAGGGCAGCGACACUGCGAGGUGAAGCCAAUCCCGUAAAAUCGGUCUCAGUCCGGAUUGGAGUCUGCAACUCGACUCCAUGAAGUUGGAAUCGCUAGUAAUCGUGGAUCAGCAUGCCACGGUGAAUACGUUCCCGGGCCUU
rnacentral:rRNA from 1 species